rnacentral:rRNA from 1 species
CCUACGGGUGGCAGCAGUGGGGAAUAUUGGACAAUGGGCGAAAGCCUGAUCCAGCCAUGCCGCGUGUGUGAAGAAGGCCUUCGGGUUGUAAAGCACUUUCAGUGGGGAAGAAAGCCUUGGGGCUAAUACCCUCGAGGAAGGACAUCACCCACAGAAGAAGCACCGGCUAACUCCGUGCCAGCAGCCGCGGUAAUACGGAGGGUGCGAGCGUUAAUCGGAAUUACUGGGCGUAAAGCGCGCGUAGGCGGUCUGAUAAGCCGGUUGUUAAAGCCCCGGGCUCAACCUGGGAACGGCAUCCGGAACUGUCAGGCUAGAGUGCAGGAGAGGAAGGUAGAAUUCCCGGUGUAGCGGUGAAAUGCGUAGAGAUCGGGAGGAAUACCAGUGGCGAAGGCGGCCUUCUGGACUGACACUGACGCUGAGGUGCGAAAGCGUGGGUAGCAAACAGGAUUAGAUACCCGUGUAGUC